CAAUUGUUUGUGACCCCAAGAUGCAGGAACCAGGAGUGCGAGGAGGAGAGUCUGGACAUCCGUUGGGUGAGGUGGUGUGGCUGUGAGCUGAGGGCUGACCAUCGCACCCUUCACCUGUAUCUUGACCCGAUAGUACCAGAGGCUCCAUUGUGAGUCCGCUCGAGGCUCCUGGAGGAGGUACAUUGCUUUGGAUGGAGCUCAUAACGGUGCGCAGCUCAGACAAAAAGGCAGGAUGGAUUUGAGACAGUUUCCUCCUGGAGUCUUGCAGUUGUUUCUUGCCCGAUCCAGUGCACUCAUUAGCUGGCUGGGGGGUCAAAUGCUCCCCGUCCCUCUCUGAACCAGAGGACAAAUCAUAAGGUGCUUCAGGAAGGUCAAGAUGGAUGUACUUGUCAGCUGGGAGAAAGACAACAGUGGCCAUUCACUCAAACUAUGCGAUAUAUAUAUAUAUAUAUAUAUAUAUAUAUAUAUAUAUAUAUAUAUAUAUAUA